rnacentral:rRNA from 1 species
UACGUAGGGACCAAGCGGUUCGUUCGGAUUUACUGGGCCGUAAAGGGCGCGUAGGCGGCUUAACAAGUCACUUGUGAAAUCUCCGGGCUUAACUCGGAACGGCCAAGUGAAACUGUCAAGCUAGAGUGCAGAAGGGGCAAUCGGAAUUCUUGGUGUAGCGGUGAAAUGCGUAGAUAUACAAGAGGAACACCUGAGGUGAAGACGGGUUGCUGGGCUGACACGUGACGCUGAGGCGCGAAAGCCAGGGGAGCAAACGGG